GGAUCGAUGGGUCGGUCAUGCCCUCGGUAUGUACUGAUCCCAUUGGUUCUCACCUUCUAAGGAACCAUGAUGUCAUUCGGUUGAUGUUGCGGGGAAUUAUGGACUGUUACCUUGAAAAAAUUAGAGUGUUUAAAGCAGGCCAACGCUUGAAUACAUUAGCAUGGAAUAAUGAAAUAGGACAUCCGAUUCUAUUUUGUUGGUUUCUAGGAUCGAUGUAAUGAUUAAUAGGGAUAGUUGGGC
rnacentral:rRNA from 1 species